rnacentral:rRNA from 1 species
CCUACGGGAGGCAGCAGUGAGGAAUAUUGGUCAAUGGGCGAGAGCCUGAACCAGCCAAGUCGCGUGAGGGAGUACUGCCCUAUGGGUUGUAAACCUCUUUUGUCGGGGAGCAAAAGCCGGACGUGUCCGGCUGUGAGAGUACCCGAAGAAAAAGCAUCGGCUAACUCCGUGCCAGCAGCCGCGGUAAUACGGAGGAUGCGAGCGGUAUCCGGAUUUAUUGGGGUUAAAGGGGGCGCAGGCGGAUUUUUAAGUCAGCGGUCAAAUCGUGGGGCUCAACCCCAUCCAGCCGUUGAAACUGGGGAUCUAGAGUGUGCGAGAGGUAUGCGGAAUGCGUGGUGUAGCGGUGAAAUGCAUAGAUAUCACGCAGAACCCCGAUUGCGAAGGCAGCAUACCGGUGCACAACUGACGCUCAGGCACGAAAGCGUGGGUAUCGAACAGGAUUAGAUACCCUUGUAGUC